rnacentral:rRNA from 1 species
GUGUCAGCAGCCGCGGUAAAACGUAGGAGACAAACGUUAUCCGGAGUUACUGGGCGUAAAGGGCGUGUAGGUGGUUGUGUAAGUUCGGCGUGAAAUCUCUCGGCUUAACCGGGAGUGGUCGUCGGAUACUGCACGACUAGAGGACGGUAGAGGCGUGUGGAAUUCCGGGUGUAGUGGUGAAAUGCGUAGAGAUCCGGAGGAACACCAGUGGCGAAGGCGACACGCUGGGCCGUACCUGACACUGAGGCGCGAUAGCAUGGGGAGCAAACAGGAUUAGAAACCCCCGUAGUCC